rnacentral:rRNA from 1 species
GACGAACGCUGGCGGCGUGCUUAACACAUGCAAGUCGAACGGGAUUUAGUAGACAGAAGCCUCGGCUAAAGAUUACUAAUGAGAGUGGCGAACGGGUGAGUAACGCGUGAGCAACCUGCCUAUGACAGUGGGAUAGCCUCGGGAAACCGGGAUUAAUACCGCAUAAAAUCGUAGAAACACAUGUUUUAACGGUCAAAGAUUUAUCGGUCAUAGAUGGGCUCGCGUCUGAUUAGCUAGUUGGUGAGAUAACAGCCCACCAAGGCGACGAUCAGUAGCCGGUCUGAGAGGCUGAACGGCCACAUUGGAACUGAGACACGGUCCAAACUCCUACGGGAGGCAGCAGUGGGGAAUAUUGCACAAUGGGGGAAACCCUGAUGCAGCGACGCCGCGUGAACGAAGAAGGUAUUCGUAUCGUAAAGUUCUGUCCUAUGGGAAGAUAAUGACAGUACCAUAGAAGAAAGCUCCGGCUAAAUACGUG